rnacentral:ncRNA from 1 species
GGCACAGGACGACCUGCGCUGGUGAUCUCCAUCACGGGACGGCCCGC